rnacentral:rRNA from 1 species
GGGGAUGCGAGCGUUAUCCGGAUUUAUUGGGUUUAAAGGGCGCGUAGGCGGGACGUCAAGUCAGCGGUAAAAGACUGCAGCUAAACUGUAGCACGCCGUUGAAACUGGCGCCCUGGAGACGAGACGAGGGAGGCGGAACAAGUGAAGUAGCGGUGAAAUGCAUAGAUAUCACUUGGAACCCCGAUAGCGAAGGCAGCUUCCCAGGCUCGUUCUGACGCUGAUGCGCGAGAGCGUGGGUAGCGAA